UGGCCUCCUCCUCAUUUUCGUAGGACUACCCGCUGAACUUAAGCAUAUCAAUAAGCGGAGGAAAAGAAACCAACAGGGAUUGCCUCAGUAACGGCGAGUGAAGCGGCAAAAGCUCAAAUUUGAAAUCCCCCGGGAAUUGUAAUUUGAAGGUUGGGGAAAAAGUAACGUGUUCUUCUAAGUCUAUUGGAAAAUGGCGCCACAGAGGGUGAUAGCCCCGUCUGAUUCAACACAAUACAUAUCUUCCCCCUCCAAAGAGUCGAGUUGUUUGGGAAUGCAGCUCUAAGUGGGUGGUAAAUUCCAUCUAAAGCUAAAUAUUGGCGAGAGACCGAUAGCGAACAAGUACAGUGAUGGAAAGAUGAAAAGCACUUUGAAAAGAGAGUGAAAAAGUACGUGAAAUUGUUGAAAGGGAAGGGCUUGCAAGCAGACACAACUUUUUGUUGGGCCAGCAUCGGGGGAGUAGGAGGCAAAAAGGAGUAGAAAUG
rnacentral:rRNA from 1 species